rnacentral:rRNA from 1 species
AUUCUUGGUCAUUUAGAGGAACCUUUAGUCGUAACAAGGUUUCCGUAGGUGAACCUGCGGAAGGAUCAUUAGUGAAUAUAGGACGUCCAACUUAACUUGGAGUCCGAACUCUCACUUUCUAACCCUGUGCACUUGUUUGGGAUAGUAACUCUCGCAAGAGAGCGAACUCCUAUUCACUUAUAAACACAAAGUCUAUGAAUGUAUUAAAUUUUAUAACAAAAUAAAACUUUCAACAACGGAUCUCUUGGCUCUCGCAUCGAUGAAGAACGCAACGAAAUGCGAUAAGUAAUGUGAAUUGCAGAAUUCAGUGAAUCAUCGAAUCUUUGAACGCACCUUGCGCUCCAUGGUAUUCCGUGGAGCAUGCCUGUUUGAGUGUCAUGAAUACUUCAACCCUCCUCUUUCUUAAUGAUUGAAGAGGUGUUUGGUUUCUGAGCGCUGCUGGCCUUUACGGUCUAGCUCGUUCGUAAUGCAUUAACAUCCGCAAUCGAACUUCGGAUUGACUUGGCGUAAUAGACUAUUCGCUGAGGAAUUCUAGUCUUCGGAUUAGAGCCGGGUUGGGUUAAAGGAAGCUUCUAAUCAGAAUGUCUACAUUUUAAGAUUAGAUCUCAAAUCAGGUAGGACUACCCGCUGAACUUAAGCAUAUCAAUAAAGCGGAGGAAAAUCACUAACUG